UCUAAGAUAAAAUAUGUAUGGGAAUUAGCAAAUAAAAUUUUAAAAAUUUAAUAGGAGCACCUAAUAAACUCAUAUAAUUAGCCACAUGAGUUAUCAUCCAAUCCGCAGCUCUAUUUAUCUCUAUAUAAAUAUGUGUGAUUUCAAAAGACCGCAGGAUCAUGCUCAUCUUUUAAUAAUCUUAUCAAAGCCCGAUGAGAACCAAUACCAAAUGGGAUGGAACC
rnacentral:lncRNA from 1 species